CCUACGGGGAGCAGCAGUCGAGAAUCAUUCACAAUGGGGGAAACCCUGAUGGUGCGACGCCGCGUGGGGGAAUGAAGGUCUUCGGAUUGUAAACCCCUGUCAUGUGGGAGCAAAUUAAAAAGAUAGUACCACAAGAGGAAGAGACGGCUAACUCUGUGCCAGCAGCCGCGGUAAUACAGAGGUCUCAAGCGUUGUUCGGAAUCACUGGGCGUAAAGCGUGCGUAGGCUGUUUCGUAAGUCGUGUGUGAAAGGCGCGGGCUCAACCCGCGGACGGCACAUGAUACUGCGAGACUAGAGUAAGGGAGGGGGAACCGGAAUUCUCGGUGUAGCAGUGAAAUGCGUAGAUAUCGAGAGGAACACUCGUGGCGAAGGCGGGUUCCUGGACAUUAACUGACGCUGAGGCACGAAGGCCAGGGGAGCGAAAGGGAUUAGAUACCCCAGUAGUC
rnacentral:rRNA from 1 species